rnacentral:rRNA from 1 species
CAGCCGCCGCGGUAAUACGUAGGUCCCGAGCGUUAUCCGGAUUUAUUGGGCGUAAAGCGAGCGCAGGCGGUUAGAUAAGUCUGAAGUUAAAGGCUGUGGCUUAACCAUAGUACGCUUUGGAAACUGUUUAACUUGAGUGCAGAAGGGGAGAGUGGAAUUCCAUGUGUAGCGGUGAAACGCGUAGAUAUAUGGAGGAACACCGGUGGCGAAAGCGGCUCUCUGGUCUGUAACUGACGCUGAGGCUCGAAAGCGUGGGGAGCAAACAGGAUUAGAUACCCUGGUAGUCAAGGGCGAAUUCGC